GUGGCUGUAGAGGGGCACUGGCUCUUCUUCCAGAGGACCUGGGUUCAAUUCCCAGCACCCACA
rnacentral:tRNA from 1 species